GGGAGGUGUUACUGAACUUGAGAUUUAAUUUACAAGAAGGAACUUGUUGCAUCAAGAGCAGGGGAAAGUGCAUUCUAGGCAGAGAAAACAACCAGUGCAAAAGCCUAAGGUAAGAAUGACUUGAGAAACAAAGAAUGCCUGUAUGGCUAAAGCAACAGUGAGAAAAAGUGAGGUGAGAUGAAUUCAGAAGGGAUGGGCAUGGGCCAGAUCAGGUAGAGUUUUGUAAGCUAAGGUUCUUACCUUGGAUUUUAUUCUAAGUGUGGUGGGGCAAGAACACAAGGAGGGAAACCAGUGAAGACGAUGUUACAGUAAUCCAGGCCAGAGAUGAUGAUGGUUCUGACCAGAAUAGUAACAAUGGAGAUGAAGAGAAAUGGAGGUGGAAAAUGUCCAUCUGUUUUGAGGAUAAAGGCAACAGUUCAUAGAUCACCUGAUCAAGAAGAAUUUCAUGCGAACCUGGCAGAGAGGCCCUUGUGUUCCGUAGAGCUUGAUAUAGUGACUGGAUUGGACUCUGGCGUGUCUCCCCUGAGGGUGGGUUGAGAUGUCCUUCGUGUGUGAAGAAGGGAAGAAUUGGGAAUUUGAUGACUAGAAGAGCAGACUGUAGAGGUCUAAUAUUCAUGUGUUUCUCUACAUUUCCAAGCCCCCAUGCACCUAAGUAGGAUCACACAACCAGAUCAUGCAACCAGAUCAUGCUAGUGGAAGUUGAGAAAAAGGGACAUGUAACUUUCCACGUAAAUCUUCUCCUGUUGUUUCCAUUUCCCAGCUCUG
rnacentral:lncRNA from 1 species